rnacentral:rRNA from 1 species
GGAUUAGAUACCUGGUAGUCCACGCCCUAAACGGUGUCGACUAGUUGUUGGGGGAGUCUGUCCCUCAGUAACGUAGCUAACGCGUGAAGUCGACCGCCUGGGGAGUACGGUCGCAAGAUUAAAACUCAAAGGAAUUGACGGGGACCCGCACAAGCGGUGGAUUAUGUGGAUUAAUUCGAUGCAACGCGAAGAACCUUACCUACCCUUGACAUGCCAGGAACCCUGCAGAGAUGCAGGGGUGCCCGAAAGGGAACCUGGACACAGGUGCUGCAUGGCUGUCGUCAGCUCGUGUCGUGAGAUGUUGGGUUAAGUCCCGCAACGAGCGCAACCCUUACCAUUAGUUGCUACAUUCAGUUGGGCACUCUAAUGGGACUGCCGGUGACAAACCGGAGGAAGGUGGGGAUGACGUCAAGUCCUCAUGGCCCUUAUGGGUAGGGCUUCACACGUAAUACAAUGGCGCAUACAGAGGGCUGCAAACCCGCGAGGGGGAGCCAAUCCCAAAAAGUGCGUCGUAGUCCGGAUUGUUCUCUGCAACUCGAGAACAUGAAGUCGGAAUCGCUAGUAAUCGCGGAUCAGCAUGUCGCGGUGAAUACGUUCCCGGGUCUUGUACACACCGCCCGUCACACCAUGGGAGUGGGGUUCACCAGAAGGCGUUAGCCUAACCGCAAGGAGGGCGACGACCACG